UAAGACACUUAAUUAUUUCUAUAACUAUGCUAUAUUGUUUGUCCUCGUGUGUCCGUUCAUGUUUUUCAGCAUAAAGUACUCUGCAGCCACUUAGUGUGGUGUGGACACCAGGUUAUAUCAGCUGUGUUGGUGAACCCCUCCUGCAUCUGAACUGGCUACAUAGAGGGCACAGCAUGAUCAGAGAUAAGUUUUGAUGUGAGAGGAUGCCAAACCCCAGUCCCAUCAUCGCCACCACACCCGCUUUUAAGAUAACCUUUGUACCGACUAGAGGCACUGUUGUGAUGAACUGAGAGAAUAUUUAGGUAGCACUGUGAUUCAUUAAUCAUGUGCUGCCUUCCCUGCUCUUAUGUGCUUACCUCUUUCCCUUUGUCUUUUACACCUCUCUCGCCACCUCCUUUUUCUUCCUCUGUUUUGAAAAUGCACAACAGAUGUGCAUUGAAGUACAGAUUGAACUUGUAUUUAUAACACUUGGAUAAUGAGCUUUUCAAUAAAGCGUUUCACAUUC